rnacentral:rRNA from 1 species
GCAGUCGAGCGAGAAGUUUACUUCUAGCGGCGAACGGGUGAGUAACACGUAUUCAACCUACCCAUCAGUCUAGGAUAACAUCGAGAAAUCGGUGCUAAUACUGGAUAGCAGAUACUUACACAAGUAUAUAUCUCUAAAGGAGCGUUUGCUUCGCUGAUGAAUGGGGAUGCGCAGCAUUAGGUAGUUGGUGGGGUAAUAGCCCACCAAGCCAACGAUGCUUAGCCGGCCUGAGAGGGUGAUCGGCCACACUGGAACUGAGACACGGUCCAGACUCCUACGGGAGGCAGCAGUAGGGAAUUUUCGACAAUGGGCGCAAGCCUGAUCGAGCAACACCGCGUGAGGGAUGACGGAUUUCGGUCUGUAAACCUCUGUUAUAAGGGAAGAACAAGCAGGAUAGGAAAUGAUUCUGCCCUGACGGUACCUUAUCAGAAAGCGACGGCUAACUUCGUGCCAGCAGCCGCGGUAAU